CCGCGGCAAGACGGAAAGACCCCGUGAACCUUUACUAUAGCUUGACACUGAACAUUGAGCCUUGAUGUGUAGGAUAGGUGGGAGGCUUUGAAGUGUGGACGCCAGUCUGCAUGGAGCCGACCUUGAAUACCACCCUUUAAUGUUUGAUGUUCUAACGUGGACCCGUAAUCCGGGUUGCGGACAGUGUCUGGUGGGUAGUUUGACUGGGGCGGUCUCCUCCUAAAGAGUAACGGAGGAGCACGAAGGUUGGCU
rnacentral:rRNA from 1 species